rnacentral:rRNA from 1 species
GACGAACGCUGGCGGCGUGCUUAACACAUGCAAGUCGAACGGAAAGGCCCUGCUUUUGUGGGGUGCUCGAGUGGCGAACGGGUGAGUAACACGUGAGUAACCUGCCCUUGACUUUGGGAUAACUUCAGGAAACUGGGGCUAAUACCGGAUAGGAGCUCCUGCUGCAUGGUGGGGGUUGGAAAGUUUCGGCGGUUGGGGAUGGACUCGCGGCUUAUCAGCUUGUUGGUGGGGUAGUGGCUUACCAAGGCUUUGACGGGUAGCCGGCCUGAGAGGGUGACCGGCCACAUUGGGACUGAGAGACGGCCCAGACUCCUACGGGAGGCAGCAGUGGGGAAUAUUGCACAAUGGGCGGAAGCCUGAUGCAGCAACGCCGCGUGCGGGAUGACGGCCUUCGGGUUGUAAACCGCUUUCGCCUGUGACGAAGCGUGAGUGACGGUAAUGGGUAAAGAAGCACCGGCUAACUACGUG